AGGGCACCGCCAGGAGUGGAGCCUGCGGCUUAAUUUGACUCAACACGGGGAAACUUACCCGGCCUGGACACUGGAAGGAUUGACAGAUUGAGAGCUCUUUCUUGAUUCAGUGGGUGGUGGUGCAUGGCCGUUCUUAGUUGGUGGAGCGAUUUGUCUGGUUAAUUCCGAUAACGAACGAGACUCUAGCCUAUUAAAUAGGCUCUCGGCUUUUAAACGCCGGGAGGACUUCUUAGAGGGACAGGUGGCGGUUCAGCCGCACGAAAGAGAGCAAUAACAGGUCUGUGAUGCCCUUUGUUGUCCGGGGCCGCACGCGCGCUACACUGAAGAGAUCAGCGUGCUUUACGUUCCUGCUCCGACCGGAGUGGGGAACCCAGUGAACCUUCUUCGUGAUUGGGAUAGAAGAUUGUAAUUAUUCUUCUUGAACGAGGAAUUCCCAGUAAAUGCGAGUCAUAAGCUCGCGUUGAUUACGUCCCUGCCCUUUGUACACACCGCCCGUCGCUACUACCGAUUGAACGAUUU
rnacentral:rRNA from 1 species